rnacentral:rRNA from 1 species
UGGCGGACGGGUGAGUAACGCGUGGAUAACCUGCCGUAUACAGGGGGAUAACACUUAGAAAUAGGUGCUAAUACCGCAUAAGCGCACGGUUCCGCAUGGAACAGUGUGAAAAACUCCGGUGGUAUACGAUGGAUCCGCGUCUGAUUAGCCAGUUGGCGGGGUAACGGCCCACCAAAGCGAUGAUCAGUAGCCGGCCUGAGAGGGUGAACGGCCACAUUGGGACUGAGACACGGCCCAAACUCCUACGGAAGGCAGCAG